rnacentral:lncRNA from 1 species
GUGGGUCUCUAGGCUUAGGUGAUUCUUCUAGGUGUUUAAGAAAAACCUGAUAAAGAGUCCAUUCCAAUGGACCCCAUAGAUGACAAUGGAGGUAUUCCCUUCUGUAAGAAGAGACUAUAAACAAUUUCAAAAGGAGGCUUUGCUUCUUUCUCACAAACCCAUGAAUUAAAAAAUAAACUAAUAACUUAAAUGUGAGAAAGCAGUAGGUACAAUAGUUUUCCCCUUAGGUUUCUUCUCUCUUCAUCACCUAGUAUUUUUCCAUUGAGCUCAAUGUGAUUUGAGUCCUCCUUUACCCAAGGAUGUAGUGGAGAAAACAAGAGAAAUCAGCUGUCCAGUUGCCCUUUAUUCCUCCCCAAAUACCCAAUGAACACUCAACAAAAAGUACCUAAAUGAAAAAUAAAAAGUAUUGGAAAGGCCUGCAAUAUUGGUCAUCAUGUGCCAAGUGAUAACAAUGAAGUGAUGGAUUAUUAAACUAACCCCAGGGUGAAGUGCUACUCACCCAUGUGUGGCCAUUAAUGCUUUCGAGAUAAUUAACUAAUUGGUAUCCUGGUGAGUAUCCUUUAUGGGCAAUUCAGUUCACUUGGUUGACUUAUUUAUUCCCCAAAGGUAGUUCAGUCACCCAGAAUAUCAGGUCCACUAAAAGCAUCAUUCCCUCCCCCCCACACACCCAAUGCAUUGUAUUUUACAAGUGUUUUCCCACCCUGAAUGAACUAUCCUUUAGACCAUCUUUAGGAGGUAACUGAUGCCAUAUCAGUGUCAGACCUUGAACCAAAAGGAUGAAUGCUGGAGAAAGAAUAAUCCUAGCUCUCUCUUCAAAUAACCCUAUGAUGAAGGCUAAAACUUUGAGAAAUCUAGAUGUGAUUCUAAAGGGUGGGUGAGUCCAAAAAUAAGAAGAG